CACCGGCGCAGUGUUUUCCAGCCGUUGCGUGUAUUGUUAUACAGAGUUUGAAUAUUGUUUAUUUGAUAAUAAUAUCACUUUUUAUGUGUUUGAAGAUCGGAAAAGCAUACACAUAAGUGGCAUUCACACACUUGUCGUCUCAGAGAUCAUGAAGAAUGACCAGCUUCAGCAGUUCAGCUCAGGUCCGGGGCUGGUCCUCUUGGCGGCGUGCAGAAGAGCGAGGAGUGGCUACCUGCACAUAACAGCACAAUGACUGGCACCGAGCUGAGGGCAUAAAAUCACAUCAUAUCGACUUCAGCAUCUGUCUCCCAGCUUUGGAGACGUCGCCCGAGUCCCUGAGUGGCGAGCGCCAGUUUCCGACAGGAAGUUGAGGAAGGCGACCCGAAAGCACCCGCUGGGCUGCCGACACUCCUGCGCUGCCAGCAGGGCGUGCUGCGCAGCAAAGCCUCGCUGCGUGGUCUGUACGACAUCCGACACCGGCACCCAGACGUGCAGUUUCUGAUGACAUCCUACCUCAACCAGGGCUGCCCCGAGAAUCUGCUGACUGCCUGCUGCUGAGGCCGACCUGCCGAGCCUGUCGCCGCCCCGACGGACCUGCCGACGACCUGCCGGACCUGUCGCCGCCCUGGUGAGCCUGCAGCCGCCCUGGGACCUGCUGCCAGCCCGGCGGGCCUGCCGCCGCGUCUACGCUGCCGCCCUGGCGAAACUGCCGUCGCCUUGCCGGACCCGUCGCCGCCCUGGUCAGCCUGCGGCCGCCCUGGGACCUGCUGCCACCCCGGCGGACCUACCGCUGCGUCUACGCUGCCGCCCUGGUGAAACUGCGGUCGCCCUGCCGGACCUGUCGCCGCCCUGGUAAACCUGCUGCCGACCUGUCGCACCUGCCACCGCCCUAGUGAAUCUGCUGCCGACCUGCCUGACCUGUCGCUGCCGUGGUGAACCUGCUACCGACCUGUCGGACCUUUCUCGCCGCCUUGACGAGCUUGGGGAGCCUGUGCUGCGGUGCCACCGCUCUGCUUCACUUGUGAUGUUGCCCGGUUCCUGGCUGUCGCGUGGUCAGUCGGCACACUGUGUUUGGAGAGGCGACAUCUUGUACAGCUUUCCGACAGUUCGGAACAUUUUAUUGUACCUACUCAAGUCGCAAUAGAUCGGGCUUGUGCCUUAUGUGUCCUC